rnacentral:rRNA from 1 species
UAAGCGGNGGAAAAGAAACUAACAAGGAUUCCCCUAGUAACUGCGAGUGAAGCGGGAAAAGCUCAAAUUUAAAAUCUGGUGGUCUUUGGCCAUNCGAGUUGUAAUUUAGAGAAGCGUCUUCCGCGCUGGACCGUGCACAAGUCUCCUGGAAUGGAGCGUCAUAGAGGGUGAGAAUCCCGUCUUUGGCAUGGACACACCAGGGCUUUUGUGAUGCGCUCUCGAAGAGUCGAGUUGUUUGGGAAUGCAGCUCAAAAUGGGUGGUGAACUCCAUCUAAAGCUAAAUAUUGGCGAGAGACCGAUAGCGAACAAGUACCGUGAGGGAAAGAUGAAAAGCACUUUGGAAAGAGAGUGAAACAGUACGUGAAAUUGUUGAAAGGGAAACGCUUGAAGUCAGUCACGUCGACCGAGACUCAGCCUUGCCUCGGCUUGGUGUACUUCUCGGCUGACGGGUCAGCAUCAAUUUUGCCCCUUGGAUAAUGGCGAGGGAAAUGUGACACCUUUAUGGUGUGUUAUAGUCUCUCGUCGCAUGCAAGGGUUGGGAUUGAGGAACUCAGCACGCGCCCUUUGGGUGUCGGGGCUUUGCCCACGAUACGUGCUUAGGAUGUUGGCAUAAUGGCUUUAAACGACC